rnacentral:tRNA from 1 species
AUUCUUAUAGUUUAAAAAACAUUUUAUUUUCAUUAAAAAGAAGAUUUAUUAGUAAAAUCUAAGAAAA